GGCCUACCAUGGUGGUAACGGGUAACGGGGUGUUAGGGCACGACACCGGAGAGGGAGCCUGAGAAACGGCUACCACAUCCAAGGAUGGCAGCAGGCGCGCAAAUUACCCAAUCCCGACACGGGGAGGUAGUGACAAUAAAUAACAAUACGGGGUUCUUUUGGAUCUCGUAAUUGGAAUGAGUACAAUUUAAAUCUCUUAACGAGAUCCAAUUGGAGGGCAAGUCUGGUGCCAGCAGCCGCGGUAAUUCCAGCUCCAAUAGCGUAUAUUAAAGUUGUUGCAGUUAAAAAGCUCGUAGUUGAAUUUCGGGAUUAGUAAGUUGGUCGUGCCUCUGGUAUGUACUGGCUUUACUGGUUCCUCCUUCUUGAAGAACUGUAAUGUCAUUAAUUUGGUGUUGCAGGGAAACAGGACUGUUACUUUGGAAAAAUUAGAGUGUUUAAAGCAGGCUAACGCUUGAAUACAUUAGCAUGGAAUAAUGAAAUAGGACGUUUGAUCCUAUUUUGUUGGUUUCUAGGAUUGACGUAAUGAUUAAUAGGGAUAGUUGGGGGCAUUAGUAUUCAAUUGUCAGAGGUGAAAUUCUUGGAUUUAUUGAAGACUAACUACUGCGAAAGCAUUUGCCAAGGAUGUUUUCAUUAAUCAAGAACGAAAGUUAGGGGAUCGAAGACGAUCAGAUACCGUCGUAGUCUUAACCAUAAACUAUGCCGACUAGGGAUCGGAUGAUGUUAAUUUUUUAACGACUCAUUCGGCGCCUUACG
rnacentral:rRNA from 1 species